rnacentral:rRNA from 1 species
CCCUUAGAUGUUCUGGGCUGCACGCGCGCUACACUGGUGCGUUCAGCGAGUUUAGCACCUUAACAGAUAUGUUUGGGUAAUCUUCUGAAAACGCACCGUGAUGGGGAUCGAUUAUUGUAAUUAUUAAUCGUCAACGAGGAAUUCCUAGUAAGUGUGAAUCAUCAGUUCGCGCUGAUUACGUCCCUGCCCUUUGUACACACCGCCCGUCGCUGCUACCGAUUGAGUGGUACGGUGAAUUAUUCGGACCGGUGGACUGUGGGGAAACCCGCGGCCUGCUGGGAAGUCUUGUGAACCUUAUCACUUAGAGGAAGCAGAAGUCGUAACA